UACAGAGGUCUCAAGCGUUGUUCGGAAUUACUGGGCGUAAAGGGCGCGUAGGCGGCGACCCAAGUCAGAUGUGAAAGUCCUGGGCUUAACCUGGGGACUGCAUUUGAUACUGGGUUGCUUGAAUUCGGGAGAGGAUAGCGGAAUUCCCAGUGUAGAGGUGAAAUUCGUAGAUAUUGGGAAGAACACCGGUGGCGAAGGCGGCUAUCUGGACCGACAUUGACGCUGAGGCGCGAAAGCGUGGGGAGCAAACAGG
rnacentral:rRNA from 1 species